rnacentral:rRNA from 1 species
UGANCUGGGUAGCUAGAGUAUGUCAGAGGGGGGUAGANUUCCACGUGUAGCAGUGAAAUGCGUAGAGAUGUGGAGGAAUACCGAUGGCGAAGGCAGCCCCCUGGGAUAAUACUGACGUUCAUGCUCGAAAGCGUGGGUAGCAAACAGGAUUAGAUACCCUGGUAGUCCACGCCCUAAACGAUGUCGAUUAGCUGUUGGGCAGCUUGAUUGCUUAGUAGCGUAGCUAACGCGUGAAAUCGACCGCCUGGGGAGUACGGUCGCAAGAGUAAAACUCAAAGGAAUUGACGGGGACCCGCACAAGCGGUGGAUGAUGUGGAUUAAUUCGAUGCAACGCGAAGAACCUUACCUGGUCUUGACAUGUACGGAAGAACUCAGAGACGAGUUUGUGCCUUCGGGAACCGUAACACAGGUGCUGCAUGGCUGUCGUCAGCUCGUGUCGUGAGAUGUUGGGUUAAGUCCCGCAACGAGCGCAACCCUUGUCAUUAGUUGCCAUCAUUUAGUUGGGCACUCUAAUGAGACUGCCGGUGACAAACCGGAGGAAGGUGGGGAUGACGUCAAGUCCUCAUGGCCCUUAUGACCAGGGCUUCACACGCCAUACAAUGGUCGGUACAGAGGGUAGCCAAGCCGCGAGGUGGAGCCAAUCCCAGAAAACCGAUCGUAGUCCGGAUUGCACUCUGCAACUCGAGUGCAUGAAGUCAGAAUCGCUAGUAAUCGCAGGUCAGCAUACUGCGGUGAAUACGUUCCCGGGUCUUGUACACACCGCCCGUCACACCAUGGGAGUGGGGGAUACCAGAAGUAGGUAGGG